GGCUGCUGUCUAUGGGGUCGCACAGAGUCGGACAUGACUGAAGCGACUUGGCAGCAGCAGCAGUGAUAUUUAUAAAGCAUUGAUCCUAUCCUGGCUAAAUCAGAGAUGCUGAAAUCAUAUUGAUCCAGGAGGGUUUGUUCAUAGGGGUGAGUGGUUGAGGGAGAUGUCAAACACAGUUAUUGGAGGAGAGGCUUCAAGUGCCUAAGAGAACAUGCUGGAUGUUCCAUUUAUGUCCACACUUAUCUGUGCAUGAAAUCAGCAAGAAAAGGAGAAACAGUGCAGGAGAGAGUGAUCGUGAGCCAGAAGCUAAAGGAAUCCGAAAUGAGCAGGUGCAGUCGGGGAGUGGUAGCAAUUGAUGGGUGACUACUUGAGAGAAAAGCUCAGGGUUUUAGCAAGGGAGAAUGGUAUGGAGGCAGUUGUGCUGUCAAAGAGGACAUGCACUCCAUCUCCAGGCCCAGAAGAAGAAGGGCAAACAUUGCUGCCAUCUGGGAGGGUGGCAGGGGAGCAGUGCUCUUGGGAAGGGCCCCAGGUGGAAGAAACAUUCAGAGAAGAGGCUGAGGAUAUAAGAGAAUUGCUGAAGGAGGACUGUGAAUCCAGAGGGCACAAUGCACCCUGGAGGGGUCUUGUGGUUUGAGGAUCUUGUGAUUGGAAGGUGGAUAUCGCAUGAGGGAGGUGAAAAGCCUGAUGGGAAGUCAAGAAUAAGAGAAGUGGGGUGACCUGGGAGCCUGGACUUCUUGUGGCCAGUGAUACAGACAAGUCUAAAAAGCAAGGUGCAAUUAGUCCUAGGGGACACCCUGGACUGAGUUUUGAGUCCUGUCAGCAGAUGCAAGGGGGUCUGGAGAAACAUGGGAUUAGUCCCACUCAGAGCCCCUUCUCCAACCCACAGGCUCCUUCUUCAGCCCUGAGGAUGGGAAGAAAGAUGGUUCAGUGGAGUAGGUCUAAGAGAUGUGAUAAAGACACUGUCCCACUCUCAGGAUGCUCACCUUUAGAGAGAGAGGAAAUAGGUGCUCAUGCAACGAUGCUUCAGUGGACAAACCAGAGCAGAGGUCACUGAACAGUUUGCUCUGUGCACAUUAUAGAAAGCAGAGUAAGCAUGCUGUCGACCUUUCUGCGUGUGGCUGGGCAGCUGUGCAUGAGCCCCACCCAGCAGGGACAAAGCAGGUGCUUCCAAGAAGAAAAGGCCGGUGUCAGAAGCAGCCCCAGGAAAGAUUACGUAUUACUCAUCAACCUUAAAAUUUCAAGUUCAGUGCUUUUUUUUUUUUUUUUUUGAGCCCUGGCAAUGUGUUGGAUUCAUGUGAACUUCAUUAAAAAAUAAAACAAACAGAGUUCUAACUUGUCUGACUCAAAAAACAUUUCAUUGUUUCUUUAGGGAGAAAUAGAUUAGAAAAGACAAAGUUGAUUAUGCAGAAUAAGGAAAAAACAACUCUGAACUUUUAACCUGCAUGAGUUGUCAUUAGAAUCUUGGAAUCAUGGAAUUCCAGAAUGUAGAGCAGUAGUUCUCCAUGUUAUCUGUAUGUUAGUGUCACCUUGGGAGCUUUCAAAAAGUGAAAACCAACCAAACAAAACGUCCCAAUGCUGAGCCCCAACCCCAGAUAUUCUGAUUGAACUGCUCAGGUGUGAGAGCCUGGAGUCUGGGAGUAUUUAAGAGCUCUGAGUAAUCCUAAUGCAGCAAGAGUUGAGCCUUACUGGUAGAAAUAGAAUGCAAGGCACAUGUGCAAUUUUAAAUGAUCGAGUGGCCAAAUUAAAAAGAUAGAAACAAAGUAUAAUUUUAGUAAUAUGUCUUACUUAACCCAAUAUGUCCAAUAUAUUCUUUUAACAUGUAAUCAGUAUAAAACACUAAUAAUGAGGUAGUUUGUAUUUCUUGGUAAAGCUUCUGAGUCUGUUGUGUGUUUGCAUUUAUAGUACGUCUCAGUUCAGAUUAGCUGCAUUUUAAGAAUUCAGUACUAGAGACCUGUGACUAAUGGCUCUCAUGUUGGACAGUGCAGCUUCAAGGAAAGACAGUAGUGCCCAACCAUGAAAGCUAGAUUUACAUCUCCGGAAAACAAAAUGAGUACCCAUUUAACAUAGAUGUGAUGGUUCAGGAGACCAUGAGGUAUAAUUCUGUAUUAUUUCCUGUUUGUCAACAGCCUCUUAAGGAUCAUUGCCGAAGUCACUGAGGAGGCAGAAUUUAGAAACUUUGCAAAGUUUCUUCCAUAAAGGGAAAUGUUGUCUGGGAUUUAAAUGAUAUAUACCAAUCCUUCCGUGAUUCUAUAUUAAGGUUCACAAAUGAAUAUUGUGCUGAGUUUCUCUGCAGCUAUGAUACUGGGAAAUACCGAGCUUCUACUGAUUUUGAUCUCAAAAAAAAAAAAAAAAAAAAAAAAAUGCAGUCAUUGACUACAUUUUAUUUUCCUCUCCUGGAAUCAACCAGUGUUAAGGACAAGCAUCUUUCGGGAUUUUCAUAUCUGCAUAGCUGAGUCAGUGUUGGAAUCAGGGAUGUGGAAUGAUAAAAUUGUGAGGCUUGGCAUUCCUGGCCCUAUCCUCCUCCUCAGAAAAGAAAUCUUACACACUGCCAUACCAGCUGUUGAAUACAAUAAAUAUCUUCCCAGUGUUAGCAUUAGAUUGGAUUCCUAGGGUCUGAUUUUUACCAUGGGAUUGUUUUUCCCUACAGAAAUUAGAGAAAUCACUUAGCCUUUGGCAUAUGUUCAACUGUAACCAGAUCAUGUAGGUCUUCUGCGCCUGAGGCAAGUUAAGCAGAAAGCGUUAGUGACGUGUGCUGAGAACUAGGUUAAACGCAUUUCUCAGGACAAAUCACAAUAGUUUCCUGAUGCUGACAGGGUAGAAUAGAGACACUCAGGAAGGUUGGUCAUUCCCCCAUCCCCUAUCUGUCCAAGUGCUUCUGUUCAUAUUAAAGCCCCUUUUCACUUUUCACCAAAGUAUCUUUGCUUCCAUCAUAGAUACUUCCUUCCCAAAGCUGACAAUGGUUUUAAAAAAGAAGACACCCCAGAUGGACAAAAUUGAUCUUUGGCCCAUGUAGCCUCUCUUUUGUGCCCUUCCCUCACCUUUGCCAGGAAUAUUCCCUUCUCUUCUGAAGAUCUUGGAGAUUGUGUCUGCUGUCAAAACCCUUCUCAGCAGAGAGUUGUGAACUUAUUCAUACCAUAGAGUAGCCUGUUAACAAUAAGGCAUACAUGACACAUAGCUUCUCUCUCUCUCAUAGCUUCUCUCUCUCUCAUAGCUUCUUUCUCUCUCAUAGCUUCUCUUUAUUCCCAAAGUAAUAAAGGACUACCUGAAGAAUAUCAGGCAUUGGCUAGGUAGUUGGAGAUUUUUAAAAGAUGGGUAGAAGAUUAGAACUAAUGGCCCCUGAAAUAGCACUGUGUCUAUCACACGUCUAUCAAGAACUUAGGAAAGGAUGAAAUUGAGAGUCUUCAAGGAAGUCUAUCUUCCCCGGUGGUGCAGUGGUAAAGAAUCCGCCUGCCAGUGCAGGAGACGCAGGAGGUGUGGGUUUGAUCCCAGGAAAGAUCCCCUGGAGUAGGAAAUGGCAACCCACUCCAGUAUUCCUGCCUGAAAAAGACAGAGCCUGGCGGGCUACAGUACGUGGGGUUGCAAAGAGUCGGACAGGACUAAGCGACUCAGCAGGAACAAGUAUGAACCUGCAAUAAUGAUAGGUUGCCACCAGGGGGCACUUAAGUGCCUUGAUUGCGGGGCCAAACUAGCAGACUUAACCAUAGAGAAUAAGCUGAUUUUUACUUUUUAAAACAUGUAGAAUUUAAAUAAUAUUACCAAAAUUAGGUUUAAAUAUGAUUCAUAUGAGUAAGUUCUCAUACAAAUCAAAAGCUAAGAAAAAAUUUGCUACCUGCCUCACUACCCUUAGGCUGCUUUCAUCAUUCAGGGUAAUCCUGUUUGUAGCCCCGGGUGUCAUGACCACAGCCCUGCUGACAGGCACUGAUUCCUUAUUUGGGAACCAUACUCUUUCAUUAGGACGAGGGAGAAUAGUUAAAAGGAUUUUCACAAUUUCAACAGCCCAAAAGUAUUCUGUACCCCUCUCUUUUCCUGUUCUACUGCUAUAUGGAAUGGGAGGGGCAGUUUUCUGUGUUAAAAUGUGGGGAUUAUUUUGUAAAUGUAACUCUGGAGAACAGUCACAUGGUUUUUUUUUUUAAAGAUGAGGUAAUCUUAGCUGAUAUCUGCAAGGUGUUGUAGGAACUUUUCAGGCCAAAUUACUUUAAAAUCACGCCUUAAGAAGAGUGUGACAAUUGUUAAGACAGAAUGCAUGUGACUUAAUUUAUCUGAAACCUUGCCGUGUUCCCCUUGAUUAGAGAUGAGGCAUAAGUGUUUUCUACUAUGAAUGAGUGUGGGACACACAUAGUGAAUUAAUUUAAAUGGAUGCUGAAAGAUGGUGAAGAUGUAAAGAAACCUUAAUGUUUUGGUUUAGAAGGUUGCUCUUAAUCUGGUUAGGUAGUAGGGAGCCACUGAAGGUUUUUGAGUGAGGAGGAUGAUAUUCUUGGAGUGUACAAUUCUUUAGUGGCAAAGAAAGUGAAAAGAAGGAAAAAAAAGCUGAAAGGCUUGGUGAAAGUCUUUAGGACCAGGUAAUAGAGCAAAUGUGGAGACUAAAGAGGAAGGAGGAAUUAAAGAUGACUCAGAUGUUGAGCACAGGAGAAUGAUAACACCCUGAAAGAACAGGGAAGCCGGAAGUCGUUGAAGAGAAAUUAACUUGACCUUGAACAUGUAGAGUCUGAGGAUCAAAUAACAUGUGUGAAGCAUAUUCUCAUGUGAAGCACUAUUUUCAUAUAAUAAAACAAUACCAUUAAUUGCACUUGCCACAAGUAUUUUAAGGGCUUUGCUGGCAGCCCAGAGGUAAAGGAUCAGCCUGCCAAUGCAGGAGAUGCAAGCAGCACGGGUUUGGUCCCUGGGUCAGGAAGAUCCCCUGGAGAAAGAGAUGGCAAUCCACUUUUGCCUGGAAAAUCCCAUGGACUGAGGCGCUACAGUCCAUGGGGUCACAAAAGAAUCUGACACAACUUAGCAACUGAAUAACAACAACAAAGUAUUUCAGAUGGCUCUCCCAGAUAGAGGCUGACACUCAUUGUCAUGAGAUGAUCUCUAAGUCCAGGAGGAAGAACCUCUGGGCUGAGGGAAAUAGAUCCUGGGCUUACUCAUCAGUUGCGGCGAAGGAGAGAAAGCAUGAGAAAGUAGCAAAGGGCACAGAAGUAAUGUAAUGCUAUGCUAUGCUAAGUCACUUCAGUCGUGUCCGACUCUGUGUGACCCCAUAGACGGCAGCCACCAGACUCCCCCGUCCCUGGGAUUCUCCAGGCAAGAACACUGGAGUGGGUGAAGUAAUGUAAUAGGUUACUCCAAAAAGCACAGCAGCUUGGAGAUGAUGACUUUCCUGUGGACAAGCACUUGGAUUUUCAAGUAGGACUGGCUGAGUUCAAAUUUAGAUUCCCUAAUAUAACUAGCAAGAUUAUCUUGGCAACUUACACUUUGGGUGCCUCCGUUUCCCCAUGUGUGUAAAUGGGGCAAUUAAAAGUAUCUGCUCUUUUAGGGUUGGUGUGAGGAUUAAGUAAAAUCAUGCUUGAAAGCACUGAGAACAAUGCCUGGAAUACAGCAGAAAUUCAAAAGCUGUUAAUGGUGCCAGAGGCUAUAGAGGACUCCAGGCUAAUGGGGAGAAGACAAAGACCAUUCUUUUCUUUUGGCAAAGGGGAGGUGAGGAAUGACAUUUUGAAGGAAAGUUUUCUUGGAGUGGUGGUAGGAGAGGACAAAGUUUGUGUUAGAAUGUUACAUUUCAGCCAAAAUGUAGAGUAACAGUAAUAGCAACAACAAUCGGAAAAAUAACAGUUAAUUUUUUCAAACUUGCCUUCUGAUGGGAUUUGUUAUAGAAUUGUUUUCAGAAUUUCUCAUGCACAUGAAUUGAGACUGAUAAAAAAUAAUAAUAUGUAAAAGUAGAUAUUCAACAUUUAUAACACUAGUAUGUUUGCUUUCUCUCAG